ACCCUCCCGCUCCCUUUCCCAUCAUAUCUUUACACACUGGUCUGGGUGGUCACAAGAGGAGGAACAGUAAUACUAAAUCUGGCCUCGCAGGGCUCAUAGUCACCCAUGGAAGCACAUGGGCUAGUUUCAGACAAAG